CGGGCCGGCCGCGAACGGGAGAGGGGGGCGGUCGGGCCGCUCAGAAAGGUCCCUGCGGCAGAACAGAAACGUCUCAGUGACCUGAAUUAAUCUAAUGAGACUCUACUUGGCUUAAAUAUUAGUUUAGGGCAGCUUUUUUAAGCAUGUGAGGAAGAUAGCAAAGGUUAUUUAAGCAGAGAAGAUGUUGAAGUUGCUCUAUAGUAAGGUUUUUUUGUUAGAAACCCUCAAAGGUAUUUAUUUCAGAAGAAAAUAAUCACACCCCUACUUUUCCUGCUGC